UGACUCCAGUGUUCGAAAUUUAGACUUUUUUUUGUGGUGUAAUGAUAAUUUGAGAGGCACUGUCAAAGGGAAGCAUGUGAAGAGCCCUUUAACUGAUUAUUAACUAAGAUUGUAAGCUGUGAAAAGCACAAAUUUGAAAACAAUGAAUAAAUAAUGGAGAAAUGUGCUUAAAUUAUGGAUUAUAAGUGUAUCAGUGAGUGAACACACCACCACCCACGCACCCACCACCAUGUAGUGGGAGCCCAGGGUUCGGUUGGUCAAGCAGUCUGCCCUUGUGGUCUGUGGGGAGAAGACUUGCGUGUCGUGCUGCUCUCAUCCUGCCGGUACCUUUGCUAUUAAGUCAUUGGUGUGGUGACUGUGACCUGCCCUGACCUGCCUGUGACCUGCCCUGACCUGCCCUGACCUGCCUGUGACCUGCCUUGACUUGCUCUGACACACAUGGUGAACCGAGACCUUCCGAGACCUUCCAAGACCUUCCAAAAUCUGCCGUGACCCACAGAUGAAGAUAUAUAGGUGAUAAACGGAGGCCGAUUUAAGAAGUGCGAUGAUGCGACACACAGACAGACAGACAGACAGAUAGGUGUGGGAUGAGUGCUGGCAUACUGAAGGUCAAGAGGUCAAGAGUCACGUGUUGAGUCGUAUGGGUCACCAGACAGGUCACCCACCUAACCCCACUCGGCCUGUCAGUUCAGCGGCAACACUGUCAUGGAAGAAUUUGCCGCAAGCUGUGCCUCUCUGUGCUUGUUAUCCGAACCUUGUGUCUAAUAUUGCCUUAAUGUUGUGUGUGUGUGUGUGUGUGUGUGUGUGAGAGAGUGUGUGUGUGUGUGUGUGAGAGAGAGAGAGAGAGAGAGAGAGAGAGAGAGAGAUUUUGUUACUCGUCAUGUCCCCUGUACCACUUGAAGACCUCCACCAGACCCCCUCUUAGUCACCCUUGUUGUGUCCCCUGUACCACUUGAAGACCUCCACCAGACCCCCUCUUAGUCACCCUUGUUGUGUCCCCUGUACCACUUGAAGACCUCCACCAGACCCCCUCUUAGUCACCCUUGUUGUGUCCCCUGUACCACUUGAAGACCUCCACCAGACCCCCUCUUAGUCACCCUUGUGUCCCCUGUACCACUUGAAGACCUCCACCAGACCCCCUCUUAGUCACCCUUGUUGUGUCCCCUGUACCACUUGAAGACCUCCACCAGACCCCCUCUUAGUCACCCUUGUGUCCCCUGUACCACUUGAAGACCUCCACCAGACCCCCUCUUAGUCACCCUUGUUGUGUCCCCUGUACCACUUGAAGGUCUCCACCUGACCCCCUCUUAGUCACCCUUGUCAUGUCCCCUGUACCACUUGAAGACCUCCACCAGACCCCCUCUUAGUCACCCUUGUUGUGUCCCCUGUACCACUUGAAGACCUCCACCUGACCCCCUCUUAGUCACCCUUCUGAGGUACAAUAGUGUCUAGUCAUCCUUCCUAUGUCAUCCUUGUGUAAUCAGGAAUAAUUAUCAGCAUUUGUACUCCUCCUGUCUGUCUGUCUGUCUGUCUGUCUGUCUGUCUGUCUGUCUGUCUGCCUACCAGUUAAAAUGAUUUAUGUAGUCAGUUAUACUUGUGGAUACUGUGUGUGUGUGUGUGUGUGUAUGAAUUAAUGUUUAUUGUGAAGUAUCUGCCUGCCUGCUUGCAAAUUAAUUAUCAAUGUAGUUACUGUUUGUGUGUUUGUGUGUUAUAAAGCAAUCUUGUGUAUAUUAUUGAUUGUAUUCCACAUGUAUGGGCUGGCCAGACGUGAUGUACUGUGACAGCCAGAACCUUGACAUAUACUGCUUGAUAAAAUGAAAAUAAGCAAAAAUACAUGAAUAAAGUACAAAUUUUGAGCCGAACUAAUGAGGACUUUCUCUCGUCUUUUUCAGAGGUGCGUACAUCUGCGAGUCACUCCAACCAACCUCUUAUAUCCUACCUUAUUCUGAUAUAUUAGGUUAGAUUCAGUUAGGUUACUUAUAUUGGGGGCCUGUCUUCCUUACUAACCUAACCUAACCUAACCCAUUCCUUCCUUCUCGUCAAGCUGUUGGUGGGAGAAGCCCCAGGACUCUCAAGCGUGGGUUGAGUCACAACUGCGGGUGUGCUAGCCCACCUUGAAGUCCGGCGGGGCUCACGUGUUGCAGUGUUGCAGUGUUGCAGUGUUGCAGAUCUUCACCCAAACAAGGGGAGUAUUGUUUUUUUGUGUUUUGUAUAUAUAUAUAUUUUUGUGGGGGGGAGGGGGUCUGGGGAUAGCUAUCUGCGGUGUGCGUCUGUGCGUGCGUCUGUGUGUGCGUCUGUGUGUGCGUCUGCGUGUGCAUCUGUGCACGUGCGUCUGUGUGCGUGCGUCUGUGUGUAUGUCUUUUUUUUGGUUGUGUGUGUAUGAAUUUUUUUUUGGUAUAAAUAUAUAGGUGGCAGGCCAUAGUGUUAGGAUAUUUGACAGAUUAAUAUAGAAGAUAGUUUAAGUUAGUUAUUAAUAUAGAAGAUGGUUUAAGUUAGUUAAGGGUUAAGUGAGGCAUAGAGAGAGAGAGAGAGAGAGAGA